UGUAUUUAUUAGAUUAAAAACCAAUGCCCUUCGGGGCUCCUUGGUGAUUCAUAAUAACUUAACGAAUCGCAUGGCCUUGUGCCGGCGAUGGUUCAUUCAAAUUUCUACCCUAUCAACUUUCGAUGGUAGUAUAUGGGACUACCAUGGUUUCAACGGGUAACGGGGAAUUAGGGUUCUAUUCCGGAGAGGGAGCCUGAGAAACGGCUACCACAUCCAAGGAAGGCAGCAGGCGCGCAAAUUACCCAAUCCCGACACGGGGAGGUAGUGACAAUAAAUACUGAUACAGGGCUCUUUUGGGUCUUGUAAUUGGAAUGAGUACAAUUUAAAUCCCUUAACGAGGAACAAUUGGAGGGCAAGUCUGGUGCCAGCAGCCGCGGUAAUACCAGCUCCAAUAGCGUAUAUUAAAGUUGUUGCAGUUAAAAAGCUCGUAGUUGAACCUUGGGCCUGGCUGGCCGGUCCGCCUCACCGCGUGCACUGGUCCGGCCGGGUCUUUCCUCCUGGGGAGCCGCAUGCCCUUCACUGGGUGUGUCGGGGAACCAGG
rnacentral:rRNA from 1 species